ACAGGAACAGCGGCUCACGGCCCUGCCGUUCGCGUCAUCCGUCAUCCGUGCCCCACGACGAAGUCGAGGAGCCCGCGCCCGCGACGUCCCUUUCCUCGCGUAGCACCUGCUGCCUCAUUGUGCGGUGCCUGAAGGGGUGUGGCGGCGGCCUCCUCGACGCGCAGGCCAUCCACGGCCGCUGCGUGCGGGGCUGCUUUGUGCCGUGUGUGGUGCGAAUCGGCGGCAGGGCAGGCGGUGAUAACACAAUAAUAUUGUACGGUGCGGGAGUAGGACUGUAGGAGGAUGCAUGCGGCGAGCCACGAGCGUCCGCCGGCGACGCCAUCCUGCCCCGUUUCCGCUCCUCGCGGCCUCCACCCAAGGAGAGGACAAGAAGGCAGUGGGAGCGCGUCCCCUCUGCCGGAGCCGCACGGCGUCUCCAGCGGCGUCAUGGACGAGUUCCUACAGCACCCCGCCAUGUCCACGUCGCCGUUUGAGGGAUGCAAACAACUUAGUUGACCAGCAGAAUGAACUCUUUCAGCAAUACCAUCGAUUGGCUAUUCUGCGGAACCUGUCAUGUUUUAACUACAGAUUUUGUAGCCAUGUAUUGACGCUUUUAACUUUGGUACAGUCUUUAUGGCUAUUGGUGUUAUUAUUGAUUUGAUUGAAACACUUAUUUUUAUCCCGAUUGAAACACUUAUUUACUCUAUAUGUUAUUAUCACCUUAUAUAUUGCUUAGUUAAAAUCAGCUUAGACGGGCGCAGCGUAGCGCGCCAUCCUUCCUAGUUGUUUGCAUGCAGCCAGGCUAGUAAGAGAUUCUGUUCGGUUGCCUGCUCCACCAGCACCCAGCCUUUUUUACUGCAUGCGAGCUCAUCCGAGCGCUCACCUUAUUUAUUCUUGAUUUGCUCGGAGGGACUCUCGCGCCUUCUUCGAGAGAUCGGCCCGCGGCAUAUUUCCAGAGGUGUGCGUGUGAGUGUCCAUGCGCCUCGCAUCUACUCUUUGCGGAUGAUGACAUUGUUUUCUCGGAAGCAUCGCAGAGAGGGGCCGAUCGCCUAAGAGAGGUCUUGAAUAUUUAUAAUAGAGGAUCUGGGCAGAUGGUUAAUCAGGACAAAUCAGCUAUAUUCUUUAGUAAGAACUGUUCUGGCGAUUCAAAAGAAGAAGUUCGAAAUCGUCUGGAUAUACACAGGGAAGCUCUAGCUGAAAAAGUAUUUGGGAUUGCCGACUUCUGUUGGACGAACUACAAAGGAGGUGUUUGAGUAUAUGCCCACGAGGGUGAAGGGAUUGAUUGGAAGUUGGAGUGGAAGGGAGGCGAGCUGUGCUGGUAGAGAAAUUCUUCUCAAGUCAGUUGCGCAGGUGGUUCCUAUGUACUCCAUGAGCUGCUUUUUAUUGUCAUUUAAUAGAUGCAAGAAGAUGAGACAAGCUAUUGCUAACUACUGGUGGGGAAGCUCUGCAGAUAAUCAUCAUAUUCACUGGCUGCGAUGGGAGCACCUCAUACAGCUGAAAUACCAGGGUGGUAUGAGCUUUCAUGAUCUUAAGCUUUCCAAUUUAGCAAUGCUUGGCAAGCAAGGCUGGCGUCUCAUGACACGGCCGGAGUCACUGUGCGCUAGAGUGUUGAAAGGAAGAUACUAUCAUGACUCAGGUUUCCUAGAAUGCAAAAGAAAAGGAGAUCAAGUUUCACUUGUCGUACAAUCCUGGCAAGAAGAGAAGUUCUCAAGAAAGGUCUGAUUCGGCGAAUCGGGGAUGGUUCAAGCACACGUAUUUGGGAGGAUCGAUGGAUUCCUCAGCAUUUCGGUGGCAGACCUAUUGUGCCACAAGAAGGGCAUGACCUCAUCCCGAGUAGAGCAACUUGUUUCAGGAAGUGGCCAGUGGAAUGACGAAGUGGUGAGGGCGUCUUCCAUCGGAAUCGAUGCCGAUGCAAUUUUACGAACCCCGGUUAGAGGCUGAGGAGAGGAUUUAUGGUCCUGGGAGCCGGAAAAGCAUGGAAACUACUCGGUUAAAUCAGCCUACAAGCUCCUAGAUACCAGAAGACAACAACUCGAGGAUGUGGAAGCUGUGGGAACCUCAGGAGAUGAUUCAUGGCGGCGCAUUUGGAAGCUUGAUGUGCCCCCCAAGGUGAGGGUGUUCCCUGUGGCUACCUGUGACACGUGUGGAAGUCAUGAGGAAUCAAUUGGGCAUAUGUUGAUGGAUUGCACAAUCGUAAAUAUUUUUUGGGAACAAACGAAAGAAUUAACUGAGGUAAAAUUGCCUACACUACAUCCAGAAUCAUGGGCACGAGACUUGCUAGUUGCUUGGGACAGCGAAACAGAGAGCUAUUAUCAUCUGUGGCAUGUGGUCCCUCUGGAUGCAGCGAAAUAAGCGAAGACAUGGAGAAGCUGGUAUGCCUAUUAGACAGGCGGUGAUCUGGGUCAGGGAUACAGCCUUUGAUCUCUGGCAGCUUCUACACUCACCAAAGCAAAACAAACCAAGAGCGGAGCAGCCGAGGUGGGUGAAACCAGAGCUGGGCUGGAUAAAAUGCAAUGUGGACGCUGCGUUUCAAACCGAGAACGGGCAAGGCGCAACAGGUGGUGUCCUACGAGAUGAAGAAGGCAGAUUCCUGGAAGCACAAGCUAUAGCGUAUAAUCACUGCAUGGACGCGUUGAUGGCUGAAGCAUAUGCUUGCAGGGGAAGGCAUGGUCCUGGCAGAGAGACAUGGUGAUACUCGUUUAAGCCUCGAGACGGAUUGCCAGGAGGUCGCUGCCCUGUGGGAGAACAGAAACAACAAUCAGUCAGUGAUAGCUCCGAUUCUCAUGGAGAUUCA